CUUCUUCUUUGUACCACCUUCUUCUUCUUCUUCUUCUUACAAAUUUGAAAGAAAAAUAUCUUCUGACACUCUUUCCCUCUCUCUCUCUCGUCCUUUCCUUCACUUUCUCUCUUCUUCCUCCUUCUCCCUCUUCUUCUUCCUUCUUCCUUCUUCCUACAUAUGCAAUUUGUAUUCUUUCCUGACACGGUUUGUUCUGUUGAGCGCUGAGGACGAUGAUGAACACGAUGAUGGUGAUGUUGAUGUUGUUGGGUUCGUGAUGAACGAUGUUGAACGAUUUUAGAUGAAUGAGUUGAGUUGGUUGAAGAUCUAUGAAGAUGAUGACGAAAGCUACGAAUCUGAAUCUCCGAUCCGACCCUUCCAUGGGAUUAGGGUUUCAGGAGAUCUCGGUCGCAAGUUCUUUUCCAAUAUGUUUUGUUUUCUGCAGGAACUUUUUGUGGUGGUUAUGCAGAUUGGUUAGCAGAAUUUUGUGGGAAGUGGCGGUUUGAGUCGGUGAUGCAGCCUGUUUCUUCGGGAACCAGUUUGUUAUUCGUUUCGGUUGAGCUUUAUGCAGGGCUGCAGUUCUGAUAUGGUUUAUUUUUUUCCUUAAUCUCUUGACGUUAAAAACAUUUUGUUGUACAGACACGGCAACUUCAUAUCCAUCUUAAAGUGUCGGUUUUUCUGAAUGUUUAGA